GGCUGGGUUCUGCGCGGCAGAGCCGCCGAACCGUGUCAGGUCCUAACGGAAGCAGCACUAAGGCGAUCACUCUGGGUGCCGCAGGUCAACCUAGCCUCA
rnacentral:SRP_RNA from 1 species